AGCAGACACUUUUUUUUUUCAUCUUUCAAAAGCAAAUGCUGCUAUGGAUUGUGAAUACUAGACUACACCAGAUUGUAUCCUAGCUUAGAUGAACGUUGUCAUGAGUAUCAGUACUUGGAGUAUUAGUGGCUACCUUAAAUUCCAUUUUGGAAAUGAAAAGAACACCGAUGGCAGAUAUUCACUGAGGGAAUGCUUGGAUCCAGUUGCAAGGAAGUGAAAAGGUCCCUCUCACUAAAAUGCCUGAAAUGAUUGUGUGAAGACUUGUCAGAGUCCUUUUCUGAGUGCAGAUAACAAGGCUGGUGUCCGAAUACCUCUGUCUUCAAAGGCGAGGAGUUUAAGCACAAGAAAAUUCUAAACAUGAUAAGACAUGUUUAGAACAUGAAGACACUUAAGCAACAUUAAAUACCGCAGACAGAGCUAUACGUCUGUGUUGGUUUGGACUGGAGUAGUCAAUUUUCUUCACAGUUCAUUUUCUUCUCCUGGAGAAGAAGUGAAUGCCUGUGGAAACAAGGAAUUAAUUGGUUUGCUUUACUUGUGUACGUGGCUUUUGGUCUUCCCAUUAAACCGUCCUUAUCUCA